UACGAAGGGGGCUAGCGUUGUUCGGAAUCACUGGGCGUAAAGGGCGCGUAGGCGGCCGGGUUGGUCGUGGGUGAAAUCCCCCAGCUUAACUGGGGAAUUGCCUACGAUACUGCCUGGCUCGAGGGAGGAAGGGGCGGCCGGAACUGUCGGUGGAGCGGUGAAAUGCGUUGAGAUCGACAGGAACGCCGGUGGCGAAAGCGGGCCGCUGGCCCUCUUCUGACGCUGAGGCGCGAAAGCCAGGGGAGCGAACGGG
rnacentral:rRNA from 1 species